rnacentral:rRNA from 1 species
AGUGAACGCUGGCGGUAGGCCUAACACAUGCAAGUCGAACGGCAGCACAGUAAGAGCUUGCUCUUACGGGUGGCGAGUGGCGGACGGGUGAGGAAUACAUCGGAAUCUACUUUUUCGUGGGGGAUAACGUAGGGAAACUUACGCUAAUACCGCAUACGACCUACGGGUGAAAGCAGGGGAUCUUCGGACCUUGCGCGAUUGAAUGAGCCGAUGUCGGAUUAGCUAGUUGGCGGGGUAAAGGCCCACCAAGGCGACGAUCCGUAGCUGGUCUGAGAGGGUGAUCAGCCACACUGGAACUGAGACACGGUCCAGACUCCUACGGGAGGCAGCAGUGGGGAAUAUUGGACAAUGGGCGCAAGCCUGAUCCAGCCAUACCGCGUGGGUGAAGCAGGCCUUCGGGUUGUAAAGCCCUUUUGUUGGGAAAGAAAAGCAGCAGGUUAAUACCCCGCUGUUCUGACGGUACCCAAAGAAUAAGCACCGGCUAACUUCGUG